GUCAUCGGUGACAUCAUGACCACCAUUUUGACACUCUUCAGUGAUGGUUGACACACAUGACCCCUUAUCAUUAUGAGUCAAAGAGGAGCUGAAAUAGCAAAACGCUACCGGGAGCGCCGUGAUGCUGACCCUGACAGAAAAAGACAGUAUCUUGAAAAAGAGAGGGUCAGGUGGAAGAAGGACAGAGACACUGGAAAGAAAAAGGGCAUUGAUGAGCUGAGUGAGCGAGAGAAGAGGGCAAAAAGAAAGAAGUGGAGAGAGGCAAAAAAAGCAGCCAGAGCAAAGUCCAGGGCCAGCGCUUUGCUUUUGUCAGAGACACCACCCAGUGAUCAGUCAAAAGUACAUGAACAGAAUAAAAGUUGGAGGCCAGAAGUCAUCGAGGAGAAGCACAUUGGUGAAUGGUGUGUAGUCAACUAUGACAAUGAUGGAUACCCUGGUAUCAUUCUUGAUGUAGAGGAGCACAAUGUGAAAGGGAAAUGCAUGCACAACAAAGGCAUCAACAAAUUCUGUUGGCCAAGUCCUCGUGAUGACAUCAACUGGUAUGGGGAUUGGCAGAUUCUGUGCCUCAUGUCGGAACCACAACUUGUGAACAGGCGUGCCUUCUCAGUUGAGCCAUCUGUAUGGAAGUACAUGGAGGACCAAUUACAGUAGACCUAGAUGUCCUGAUGUUCUGAUGAGUAGCCUACCCUUGAUAUGUGUUCUGAUGUUAACUGAGUACAGUUUGUACCUAACUCAUCCUUUUUAAUGUUUUUCUGUACUUAAUGAAUUGCGUUUGUCCACCCUGUCAUGUGAUUUUCCACCCUAUCAUGCCAAU